GAAACCCAUUGAAUUAAUCUGCCGUAAACACCGCAAUUAACCACCAGGGGGAGAUGUUUGGAAACUGCAUGCAAUCUUGUAUUUGACCAAAUGUAAACAAUUAUCAUUUUGUCUACGAACAUCCGAUCCAGACGCAUGAUACGUCUUUGGAAAGCCACAAAACUGCUUUUUUUAUAUAAAAAUAAAUAACCCCUGGAUAUUGAGCUACAGGGCACAGCACGAGCAGUGAAACCGGGGUCCCCACAGACUUCUAUCAGGCGCGUUCACGGUCAUAACAAAGCCUACGUCAGGAGGAAAUUUAACACACGAACAGUACAGCAAACUGAGUCUGGAUUCUCCUCGGCUAAAACAAAACCGUAUCGUUAUUUAUACCUGUUUAAGGGGCUUGUGUUUUGGCUGUACGGCUUCAUCUCAUCCUUUUUGUUUGUCAUAAUCGAAAGCGCGCCAGCCUCCGUAUUUGUUUUUAUGUUGCUGUGUUGUUUUUUGCUAUGGAUGAUUUAUCUGAUUGUCCCCGCUAAUGCUUUAUUGUGCACACACGAGGUUGUUGCCUCUUCAUGGUUUUAAUAUCACCGGGUGUGUGUUAAUUUAUUUUUAUUGUUGUGUAUUCGAGUUGUGAAGGAGUGGCGUCGCUGUUUAUUAUAUUGUUGUUCUUGUUCCCUGCAGCAUUGAAAUGUUAGCCAGUCUGUAUCUAUCAUUUUGGGAUCCAUGGUGGUUGAUUACAUUAGUCACUUAAACUGUAAUUUCUGAUUAGAAUUCACUGUGUUGUUUAUGUAUUUGUGUGGAGUUUAUUGUUUUAAUUAACAUAGUUUUCUGUUUUAACAAGAUAUAAACUGAAAAAACACAAUGUGUGGGGUUUGUCAGUGUGUGCCUCGUAAUCACGUCACCCACGAUUUAAGACUACAGGGGGUGCGUUCACGAGAGGCAGACUUUGCUAAGUCUGCGCAGAUUCUGCAAAGAUUCUGAAAAUUCAUUGGCUACUUGCUCCGAUUCUGUGCGGAUUCUGCGCAGAAUGACACAAGUCUGCGUGUCGUGAACGCAGCCGAACUCUCUCCACACGCAACACACAGCGUUCUUGCGCCUGCCGUCACUCCUGCACACGUGAGGGGAAUACAUGCGGGCUAGAGUGUCUCACGCGUGUAGGGCUGUGUGUUGAAAUGAACCUGGAAACAAAUUCAAAUCCAUGCGUUUCCAGCAGAUGUGUCCGUCCUCGCCUCUUGCUUUGCUCGACUACCUCUAAGAGAAAUGUGUUGGGCUUGUAUCUUCACCUCAGUGUUGCUAUUGUGUUUAAAUUGACAUAUUUUUUUCGGCCCUUGCAUUAAAUGUCGGUUCAUCUAUGAGACUGAGAAAUAAUUCUCAGACAAUAUUAUGGCUGUAGACCAAGAGCAAGUUCAUAAUACUGGUCUGUGACAAUGUGAAGCACUUCCAGUGUAUUUAUUUAUUUAUUUAUUUAUUUAUUGCAUUUAUAUAGCGCUUUUUCACAAAGCACUGUACACUACAGAGCACAAAAAAGAACAAACCACAAUACAUUUCUAUAGCAUGCCACACAUACAGACCAUAAUAAUACAAAAGCAGCAGUUUUUAUAAAAGUAUUUUUCCUCUUGACAAUACUCGACCGUCCCCUCGCUAGAUUGCUCUGAUACUGUGUGUGUGUGUGUGUGUGUGUGUGUGUGUGUGUGUGUGUGUGUGUUCUUCUCUCGCCUGUCCUGUGAGGAUGAAGAUGUAGUUUCAGUGUUUAAUGCUCAUCCCCUCACUGUGUGUCUGUGUGUUCUUGUCUCUUGACAGGUCUGUGAGGACGAGAAGGUCUCCACAGUCUGGAGUCUGGUCUCUGACAAGCUCAACAUACCUGUCAAUCAACAGGGACUCCUCUACAAAGGCAAGGCGCUGUCAGGUAGGCUGAACAGCACAGCACAGCACAGCACAGUUCACCCCUCCUCUCACCCCUCGCUUCACCCCGGGUCAGUGUGGCACAGCCUGCCUGCUCUUCUAAACAAACACUUCAGCCCUGCCGACGCAGUGAGAGUCUGGAGCAGCAACACAAGGUGAUGAAGUGACACUUUGAAUAUGGGGCCUGAUGAGAGAAGUAUCCUUUUCAUGUGGUUUUGGUUUUGCCGUUGUGAGCAGGAGUGGGAAACAGCACCGUGUCUGCAUGUGAAAUAACAAAGUCAUCGCAGUGGAGGGACUCUCUGAAGGCUGCUGUUUGUGGAUUUGUCUUGUAAUGUGAUGAAGUGACACUUUGAAUGUGGGGCCUGAUGAGAGAAGUUUCCUUUUCAUGUGGUUUUGGUUUUGCCCUUGUGAGCAGGUGUGGGAGACAGCACCGUGUCUGCAUGUGAAAUAACAAAGUCAUUGCAGUGGAGGGACUCUCUGAAGGCUGCUGUUUGUGGAUUUGUCUUGUAAUGUGAGUGAUCUACUGUACUGUGAUGCCAUUGUCUGUACGCACGCUGCACUGUAGGGGAGACACCGCUGGCAUUCACAGGGCAUGCUUGUUCAUUUAAAGCACGCUGCACUGCAGGGGAGACACCGCUGGCAUUCACAGGGCAUGCUUGUUCAUUUAAAGCACGCUGCACUGCAGGGGAGACACCGCUGGCAUUCACAGGGCAUGCUUGUUCAUUUAAAGCACGCUGCACUGCAGGAGAGACACCGCUGGCAUUCACAGGGCAUGCUUGUUCAUUUAAAGCACGCUGCACUGCAGGGGAGACACCGCUGGCAUUCACAGGGCAUGCUUGUUCAUUUAAAGCACGCUGCACUGCAUGGGAGACACCGCUGGCAUUCACAGGGCAUGCUUGUUCAUUUAAAGCAUGCUGCACUGCAGGGGAGACACUGCUGGCAUUCACAGGGCAUGCUUGUUCAUUUAAAGCACGCUGCACUGCAGGAGAGACACCGCUGGCAUUCACAGGGCAUGCUUGUUCAUUUAAAGCACGCUGCACUGCAGGGGAGACACCGCUGGCAUUCACAGGGCAUGCUUGUUUAUUUAAAGCACGCUGCACUGCAGGAGAGACACCGCUGGCAUUCACAGGGCAUGCUUGUUCAUUUAAAGCACGCUGCACUGCAUGGGAGACACCGCUGGCAUUCACAGGGCAUGCUUAUUCAUUUAAAGCACGCUGCACUGCAGGGGAGACACUGCUGGCAUUCACAGGGCAUGCUUGUUCAUUUAAAGCACGCUGCUGUGGGAUUUUGCACAGUGAUUUUGUAUCUUAUUUUCAGGUGAAGUUUUGAAUGCAUCAAGUUGGAAGACUUGGCUUAAGAUAAUGAACUCCACUUUUCAUAAUGUAAAUUGUUUAGUUUGCAUGAUUUGACAAUACAGGUGGAUUUAAUUAGACAACAAAACCACCCAUUACUCCAUAAACAAUGACUUGAACAUUCAUUAUCCUGUCUGACCAUGUUUCAGGAGACCUCUAGUGGUCAAGAUGCGCCAUGUGAGGGAAUAAUGCUAUUUUUAUUCUCAAACUUAUAUACCUCCCUUGAAUUACUUUACCACAACAUCUGCGCACACACACACACACACAGUGAGGGUCUGGAGCAGCUACACAAGGCAACCUGAACACAAUAAACACAGACAUAUAUAUAUAUAUAUAUACACACAUGUAUAUAUGUAUUCUUAUCUAGUGUCGUGGUUGAACAGUUUUGGCCUCAGCAAUAGUCAAUGCUAGUAAUUGGAAAUUCUGAGUAAUUUAAAGUAUUGUAUGUGUUUCACUGAUCUGUCAUGUUGGGUGUUUGUGCCUCACUGUGGGUCACUGAUCUGUCAUGAGGGGUGUUUGUGCUGCACUGUGGGUCACUGAUCUGUCAUGUGGGGUGUUUGUGCCUCACUGUGGGUCACUGAUCUGUCAUGAGGGGUGUUUGUGCUGCACUGUGGGUCACUGAUCUGUCAUGUGGGGUGUUUGUGCCUCACUGUGGGUCACUGAUCUGUCAUGAGGGGUGUUUGUGCUGCACUGUGGGUCACUGAUCUGUCAUGUUGGGUGUUUGUGCCUCACUGUGGGUCACUGAUCUGUCAUGAGGGGUGGUUGUGCUGCACUGUGGGUCACUGAUCUGUCAUGAGGGGUGUUUGUGCUGCACUGUGGGUCACUGAUCUGUCAUGAGGGGUGUUUGUGCUGCACUGUGGGUCACUGAUCUGUCAUGUGGGGUGUUUGUGUUUCACUGAUCUGUCAUGUGGGGUGUUUGUGUUUCACUGAUCUGUCAUGAGGGGUGUUUGUGCUGCACUGUGGGUCACUGAUCUGUCAUGAGGGGUGUUUGUGCUGCACUGUGGGUCACUGAUCUGUCAUGUGGGGUGUUUGUGUUUCACUGAUCUGUCAUGAGGGGUGUUUGUGCUGCACUGUGGGUCACUGAUCUGUCCUGUGGGGUGUUUGUGCGCACUGUGGGUCACUGCCACAAGGGGUCACUGUAUUUUGGAUAAUUUUUUUUUGUUUUUUUUAAAACCUUAAUUUAACCAGGAAGUCACGUUAAGAUUCAAAAUCUCUUUUUCAAGACAGAUCUGACCAAGAGCGCAGCAAUACAGAAACAAUCACACACAUUAACAGAUUAACAGAAACAUUUAAAAAAUAAUAAUACCAUGAAACAGUAAUUAAUCAGGACAUUUCAUUGGAUUAUUUGCAACUUUAAAAUUAAUUAAAACAAGUACAUUUAUCAGAAAUAAAAUUUCCCCCCUGAUUUUUUUUAAUCUGUUAAUAAUGAGAUAGUUUGACAUGCUUUUGAAGGUCGUUCCAUGACCAGUGUUUGCUCUGCAGUUGAUAGAAUGUCAUUCGCUUGGUCGUUAUUGUUGUCUUUGACAGUUUCCUGGAGUGUGUGGCUGUGUGCCUGAGUGACAUCCAGAACUUAAGAGAAGUCGUUUCAUUUCUGGUUCUUUCUUGAGGAGAGGUGACUUGUAGUGGUGAGUGUCAGGGUCAGUGUGGCUCGCUCCUGUGACUCUGAGCCCUGGAGCUGCUUUUAAGGGACAGUGUCCUGCAGAGUCUGCCUGUCUGCCCUCGACAUUGUGUGAGGGCGUUUGUACCUGAGAAUCAGGACUAGCUUCUCAUGACGAAUGGGAUGCUGGCUGGAACAUUUAUUUAUGUAGUUCAGCACGUGUAGCUGACAGUGUGGACGUGCUCAUCUUGCAUUGCGAGUGUCAGCUGGUUCAUGACUACAGUAAUUCAUGACUACAGUAACCUGCAGGUCACAGCUUGCACAGGUUCAUCAACAUUGUCAGUUCCUCAUGUAUCCAGUGUGUGCAGUGCUGUAGCAGACAGUGAGGAGUAGUGGAGCAACAAUCAAUCCAUUUAUCCAUCCUCUGCCCUUAAAUUUCCCGAGCUGCGAUUACAUAUUGUUGAAUCGAUGCAUGAGAUGAGAGCCCAGUUUGGAGUCUGCUGUUGCCGGUGUCCCAGGAAAUAAGUUGAUCAAGCUCUAGAAUUUAAAGGGGAGGUUCCAUUGUUUCUAAUGUAACCGAGCCUAGGCUAGGAAAUAAGUUGAUCGGAUAUGUUAAUGAAAAAUAAUUUAAAAUUAAUUUUGUAGGUAUAAUUUAUAUCAAUUAAUAGAUCGGAUUUAUUCGUCGGUAUGCUGCUAGAUAAGAUGAUGUGAAUAUCACCUUAGAUCCGAUAUAUUAGCCUAACAAAAAUGCAUAAUUUAAACUGACUUUUGUACGUAUAAUUUACAUUAACAUGUAGAUCGGAUACAUUCGACAGCAUUACGCUAGAUAAGGGAAUGUGAAUAUCGCUGUAAUAUAUAUUAGCAGCAAAUAAAUCAUUUCAAAUGAAUUGUACGAUUGUAUAUUUCUGAUUGUGUAUUUCUGUUUGUAUAACAAACGUUAACUAGCAAAACAUGUUGCGUAUUGACGUUAUUUUGCAUUUCUGGAGGUGCUUUUGUUUUGGGAAGCACUACAGUUUGGACAGCAGGUAUGCGAGCGAUUGUCCAAAAGUUAAAGCAUGAGUUUCAAUCAUGGAAAACAUUAAGCUCCAUGCUGCGAUCACUAACUAGGCCACGGUGCACAUCAAUCACAGGAUGUACUUGAAAAACGUUGCUAAUACAGUUUUAUUAUUUGAUAUUUGUUCUUUCAUUUAUUUUACAUACAGUAUUUUGUAUAAUAAAUGACAGAAAAUGAACAGGAAACUGGUUAUCAUAGUGCAUGUAUUUCAAUUACAAGUUUGGGAAGAAACAAUACAUUCAUUAAUUAAAAUCUAAAGAGUUAACGUCUUUGCUAAACCGUGGUAAAUACCUGUAGUUCAAUACCAACCAUGAUUUUGUGUUGUGAGAGAGAUCAUACAGUAUCUGCAGGCUACUCUAUAUCAGCAUCAUUUUAAAAUGGUAAAUCCCUGUAGUGCAACAACCAAUAAGACAUGUAAGGAGAAAGAGAUACAGUAUAUUGAAUUAAAGUGAAUUAUCACGAUUUAAAAUAUUAGCUAUACUAAUAUUAAAAUGUAUAAAAUAUGACUUGAACUGUUAAUAAUAUUAUGGAUGCAGCAUGUCAUUAUAUUACUGAAAUAUUUUAAUUUUAGUUAAAGAUUGACAACAUUUUGACGUAUAAAAUCAUUUAAUAUAUAAAUAAAUCUCCGCGAUCACACAUAAACUACAUCAGAUUGACAUCGAUGUUAUAGAAACAUAAAAAGACAGGGGUUUAAAACAGUUUACCAUUGAAACAGUCGUCGAUCACACAUUUUAAAGUUCAUACGAAAAGACAGUGGCACGAACACGCACCAACAUAAUACACAGGCAGAUAAAAAUAAAAAACCUUGCAGUGAACCUCCCCUUUAAUCAAACUGUAGCCCUGCCUUACUUUUGUCUACUUUUAGAACAUAAGAACAUAAGAAAGUUUACAAACGAGAGGAAGGCCAUUCAGCCCAUCUUGCUUGUUUGGUUGUUAGUAGCUUAUUGAUCCCAGAAUCUCAUCAAGCAGCUUCUUGAAGUAUCCCAGGGUUUCAGCUUCAACAACAUUACUGGGGAGUUGGUUCCAGACCCUCACAAUUCUCUGUGUAAAAAAGUGCCUCCUAUUUUCUGUUCUGAAUGCCCCUUUAUCUAAUCUCCAUUUGUGACCCCUGGUCCUUGUUUCUUUUUUCAGGUCAAAGAAGUCCCCUGGGUUGACAUUGUCUAUACCUUUUAGGAUUUUGAAUGUUUGAAUCAGAUCGCCGCGUAGUCUUCUUUGUUCAAGACUGAAUAGAUUCAAUUCUUUUAGCCUGUCUGCAUACGACAUGCCUUUUUAACCCGGGAUAAUUCUGUUUGCUCUUCUUUGCAUUCUUUCUAGAGCAGCAAUAUCCUUUUUGUAACGAGGUGACCAGAACUGAACACAAUAUUCUAGGUGAGGUCUUACUAAUGCAUUGUAAAGUUUUAACAUUACUUCCCUUGAUUUACAUUCAACACUCCUCACAAUAUAUCCGAGCAUCUUGUUGGCCUUUUUUAUAGCUUCACCCGCAUUGUCUAGAUGAAGACAUUCCUGAGUCAACAUAAACUCCUAGGUCUUUUUCAUAGUUCCCUUCUUCAACUUCAGUAUCUCCCAUAUGAUAUUUGUAAUGCACAUUUUUAUUGCCUGCAUGCAGUACUUUACACUUUUCUCUAUUAAAUUUCAUUUGCCAUGUGUCUGCCCAAUUCUGAAUGCUGUCUAGAUCUUUUUGAAUGACCUUUGCUGCUGCAACAGUGUUUGCCACUCCUCCUAUUUUUGUGUCGUCUGCAAAUUUAACAAGUUUGCUUACUAUACCAGAAUCUAAAUCAUUAAUGUAGAUUAGGAAUAGCAGAGGACCCAAUACUGAUCCCUGUGGUACACCACUGGUUACCUCGCUCCAUUUUGAGAUUUCUCCUCUAAUCAGUACUUUCUGUUUUCUACAUGUUAACCACUCCCUAAUCCAUGUGCAUGCAUUUGCACCCAUGUGCAUCCCCUGGUCAGCUGUCCAGCUCACUGCUGCAGAAGUUUGUUUGGGGCUGGGACAAUGAACUUGUGUGUUUUAGCCAUUUGUUAAUCUUUGAAGAGGAUCUGCAAGUUUGUCUUUCAGUCUUCCCUGCAAUAAUGAUGGACUUUAUUUAUUUGAGAAUCUGUGUUGGAAAAUGUGCUAUUUGACAGUGAAGUUGUUUUUAAAAAAAAACAUGUAAAGAAAAUGUACAUGAUCUCUAACUUGCUAUUUGACAAAUAACAAUUAAAAAAUGAAAGCCUGUGUGAUGCUUAUUUCCCUGCAAGCCCUUUUCUUUGCCCACUGGAGCACACAGCCUCUUAUGGGGGUUUGGAACCGCAAAUCACUGCAUCUUAAACACACAGCUCUAGAGUCCGUAACUACAGCAUGUACUGUACCGGUUAUUGUGUGUGUUUUAAUGAAGUCUGCUGCUGUACUUGUCUGGCUGUGAGCUUUUGCUUUACCAACAAACAAGGAAUUAAACAAAACAAAAGCAGCUCCGUUCUCAGCCUGGCGUGAGAUUGAUUUAUUUUACCUACAAUGGGAAGUGCUUUAGACUGAACAACCUCAAGCUCCCUUCAUCUUGUCACAGCUCCGCACUGUGAUAUAAAGUCUAUUUCCUGUACAUUGUUAUUAUUUUUUGUGUUUUAUUUAUUGUGAUUAUUAUUAUGAUUUUAAGAAUGUAUCGGAAAUGUCUUUGUUUUUGCACAGUGGUAAGGUUAAUCCCAGUCAUUACAAUGGGCAACGGAGCUGUGUUAAGAUAAAACUUUUUUUUAAAUUAAAGAAAAUUAUCUUUAUUAAAAUCAACAGUUCUACUAAAUGGCCACACGAUGGCAGCAUUGGAUAAGGAAUAGCGAGAGCUUCGUUCUGCCUAUCUUCGUAAAGUUCACUGCCUGCUUUGCCCAUUGUAACCCGGUUGACAAAGCCACGCUGAAUUAAUCAGCUCACCUGGGGGUCGGGGGGGGGGGGGGCGUCUAUUUAUUUCUUAGCAGACGCCCUUAUCCAGGGCGACUUACAAUUGUUGCAAGAUAUCACAUUAUUCUUUACAUACAAUUCCCCACUUAUACAGUUGGGUUUUUUACUGGAGCAAUCUAGGUAAAGUACCUUGCUCAAGGGUACAGCAGCAGCGUCCCCCACCUGGGCUUCAACCCACAACCCUCCGGUCAAGAGUCCAGAGCCCUAACCACUACUCCACACUGCUGCCCAUAUUUGUAUGACUCUGUCAAAAAUACAAUAGAAGUGACUCUUUUAUUUUAGAUAUUUUCAAUGCAGUAAUCAUCUCCGUGUUGUACAAAUCAUUAGUCCAGUUCAAGUCACAAAUGAGUGCAGUGGUACAGCUUGCAGAAUGGCUCAGUUGGUAGAGCACAGGGUCCUGAUUUCCAGGGUUGGUGGUCCAAACCCUGUUCACAAUGCGUUUUUCUGGGUUUUUUUUUUCAAGUUGCUUAAUUUACCUUGUAGGCAAUGUAAACCUAACAUCAGGGACAGCUGGUAGGUGGUGCAGUUGGGUCGGUCCCUGUGCUUAAAUGCUCUUUACCUUGAGCGACUGGGA